CGCCAGCGUCACGACGUCGCGCAUGCGCGGGCCGGGCCCGGCUGGGCGCCGCCGCGCGGCCUUCUGGGACUUGUAGUCCGGCGCGGGGCCCGCAGUCCCAGCGCGGUCGGCCCCGGAGAGGUGCGGACUUCGUCUGUGCCCGGUCGGCGCCGGCCUCAGGGGCCUGUUCACUGCUGUGGACGCAGCGAGUGGCCCAGAGCCCGAGAAACUCCGUAAACAGCGGACAAGUGAUGUUAAUGACAGGAGCUAAUUUAUAUUGGUGUGUUGGGCACUUAGCCUGCGUUCGCCCCUUGAAUGAAUGAAUGACCACGUGCUAAGUGCCAAAAUACAGGCACAGUAUCUGCCUUGUUAGAUAUUUAUGGGGGAGCGAGACUAUGUUUCGGAGGCGGAGGAGAUGAGCAGCGUGCCCAGAAGCUGACCCUGCUGGGCUGGAAAGGGUUCCUGGCAGAGGAGCGAGCCUCUGCCAAGGCAGAGUGGCCUGGGGCUGGGCGCCGACUGCAGGGCUGCAGGGGCCGUUUGAGGUUAAGCCGAGAAUGACACACCUGAGCGGGACGUAAAACCAAGCUGCCAUGGGACCUACCUCCUACUGGCCAAUCAUUCCCCCCAAGGAUUCUGAGGACCAGGAGGGAGACCUACAUGAGAGCAUCUUUUGAGCAUCUUCCUGCAACAGUGAAGCUCCUCCAGCAGCCCAGAGCUGCUGUGGGCUUCAGCACCUGGGCCCUGCAAGGCAAGCCCUGGGCUGCCUGCUCACUAAGGUUCCCCCUCCUUCUGACUCACCUGGACUUCCACCCCUGCACCAAGACUACGAGCUUAUGGAAGAGGGGACAGCUUAAUACCUCAUCCUCCUGCCUUCCAUCAGACCACCAUCCUGUGAUAUGCCCAAGCAGUUCUAAUGAUCUUCCAGGGGGAAAAAAAAUAAAUAAAUGAAACAAUUGCAAUGAGCCUGUCCUAUGAUCAUAAUAGUAAUGAAUAAUAACAACACAUCACCAACAGCUAACACUAAGUGCUCACUUCAUGCUACGCUAAGGGUUUCCCUUCAUAUAUCCUUAGGGGCAGGAACAGGGACCAAGAGGAAAAUAUAUUAGGUACAGGUCAGUGAACUCUGAAUAGGCCACGCAGCAUCCGAGACUCAGAAACCCGCAGGGACCUGGCGGAGAAGCAGACUGCAUGCUGGCUGCACCGUGAGUCAGCACCAGCCUGGGAGACAGCCACUCAGGCGUCGGAAGGAUUCAAACAUCUGCAACCGGGCCCGAAGCCAAGGGAACAAGACAUCAGGUUCCAGAUUUACAGCCCCAUGUGAUAGGCUCAAAACUAAAAGUGUUCAUAAUUUCUAAGGGGAUGGAAAUUGGGGGAACCUGAACAGUCAAUAUACAAGGAUUCAUACAUCGA